GGGCGUCGCGGUCGCGGGCGCGGGAGACCACGGCGAGCAGCCGGUCAGGCUCGGCCGAGUCGCUGGACGGCGGCGCCGGCCGCAGAGGCCGCCAGCCGGCCAAGGCGCGGCCCAAGGAGCCGCCCGAGCCAGAGCGCGACACCAACAACGUCAACAAGCGCAAGCUGCGCAACAGUGGCGCCGGACAACUGGAUUCGGACGCAUCCACGGUGGCGAAACGAAGGCGGGUGUCACGGGACAAGUGAUGCCGUCGCUGUGCCAUGGAGGGGUUUGGUUUUCGCCCGUUUUCCUUAGUGCAAUUAUGUCAUGAAAUUUAGAUUAGAACCUGUGUCGGCGGCGCGCGCUGCCGCCCCGCCCCGCCCCGCCCCAGUCCCUUCAGUUAUGCAGCGUGCCGCCGCGGGGGUGCGUUCCCCGCCGCCGGCUGCUGGUUGCGUUCAGCUAUGUGGAGCCUGGUGUACCCGUGAUCUCGCAAUAAUGAACUUUGGGGUCCCGCGCCGGCUUCGGGUGGCCAAUUGGCUUGCGAAUAAUUAUGUUUAAGCCUUUUAUUGUUGCGAAUUAAUGAGUUUACCUGCAUAAUGUGAUACGACAGUGUCGGACACGAGGGAGGGCUUGCACGUUUUGAAGGAAUCUGCGCUUGUGUGGAGAUCAGAUCAUGUCUUAAACCUCUGCAGCACUGGGCUCGUGUGAGGCUGUCUGGUUUGUUGACAUGAAGACAUCCUGUGCAUUGGCGUACAGAAAUUUACUAUCACAUUGGUGUAAAUACUGUUGGCUGACUGUCGCGUGAGUUGCGUGUUACUCUCAUCAUGGUCAGGAGAGCUACAAAUAUUUACGCACGUGCGCGAUGUGUAGUGUUCGUUGGCGCGUGACAACCGCAGGCAGAUUGUCGGCUACAUAAGCGAGAGUCAUGUAAAUAGUCCCUUCCCGACGUGGCAUAACCUUUUUUAUGGAAACAACACGUACUUUGCUCGCCCACUGCUCGCAGAUAUUGUAAAUACCUAAUGGUGUACAUUAGUUGUGUAAGAGUACGACAUUAUGUACACAAAUCGUUAAAUCCACGGACAUAAAGGA